AGUGAACGCUGGCGGUAGGCCUAACACAUGCAAGUCGAGCGGCAGCACAGUAAGAGCUUGCUCUUACGGGUGGCGAGUGGCGGACGGGUGAGGAAUACAUCGGAAUCUACUUUUUUGUGGGGGAUAACGUAGGGAAACUUACGCUAAUACCGCAUACGACCUACGGGUGAAAGCAGGGGAUCUUCGGACCUUGCGCGAUUGAAUGAGCCGAUGUCGGAUUAGCUAGUUGGCGGGGUAAAGGCCCACCAAGGCGACGAUCCGUAGCUGGUCUGAGAGGAUGAUCAGCCACACUGGAACUGAGACACGGUCCAGACUCCUACGGGAGGCAGCAGUGGGGAAUAUUGGACAAUGGGCGCAAGCCUGAUCCAGCCAUACCGCGUGGGUGAAGAAGGCCUUCGGGUUGUAAAGCCCUUUUGUUGGGAAAGAAAAGCAGCAGGUUAAUACCCCGCUGUCCUGACGGUACCCAAAGAAUAAGCACCGGCUAACUUCGUG
rnacentral:rRNA from 1 species